rnacentral:misc_RNA from 1 species
AAUCAAGUACAUAAAAAGACCAAGAAAGACAACAUCGCUUUUCUUUGUUGUUUUGCGCAUUUCUGUCGAAGCGGUGGCCGCCUUCACUUGUGCCCCCCUCCCUUCUUUCAUCUCGUUUCUAACAUCGUGUUCGUCCCCACCUUCGUGCGGAGUCGCCUCGCUCCUUCCCUUCCCAGACUCCCUCUCCCGCAGGCAGGCACCCACCCGUCUAUACACGUGAGUCCCCUUCCAUCUCCCAUUACCAUCCCAGCCGGGCGCUGCCGCCAUGUCGCGCGUCACCCUGGCGCCGAAGCUGGAGGCGGUGACGGUUUACGGUGACCGCGCUCAGCUGACCUUCUCUGCGCCAGUGGUGCUCAAGCCCUCCGCGAGGGUUGUGGCGGUUGUGGAAAACAUCGAGCAAUGGGGCGAUGUGGACUGGGCCACGCUUCAGGUGCGCAUUGGCGAGGCGACGGACCCUGCUGUGGCUGCUGCGGUGCUGCUGCAGAAUAUCAGCCCCGUGCGUGAGACGGUGAGGCAGGACGUGCGCGCGGAUGUGCAGCGGCAGAAGGACGUGAUCAAGCGGAUCGAGGAGGAGCAAUGCGCGUGCGAGGAAGGCAUUGCCGCACUGGAGGAGUCGUGCCAGCACCUUGAGCGGAUCAAGUGCUUUGUCAGCUCCGCGGGCCGCGGUGACUGCGCUGUGCCGCCCGAGAGCGCGGGUCACCUGCAGGCGUACAUGCAGGACCCUGUGAAGUGGGGCGCGAUGGCGUCAUUCUUUGCGACGCGGCGCGCCACGGCGCAGCGCGGGCUCGCGGAGCUGAGGACGAAGUUGGCGGAUGUGGAGGAGCGACUUGAGGAGGCGCAGCAGCGGCUGAGCGACCUCGGCGGCGACAGCGGCGUUCGACUGCACACAAAGAGCGCGCUGGAGGCGACGCUUGUGGUGGGCGCAGGGGUCGUUAGCGGGACGAAGCUGAUGGUGGAGCUGUCGUGCGUUGUCAGCGGUGCGGGGUGGUCGCCACUGUACGACCUGCGCGUGAACUACGCGGAGUCGAAGCUGGAGGUGCUCUACUCCGCGAACGUGCACCAGUGCACGUCGCUGGACUGGGAGAAGGUGCGGCUGCGACUGAGCACUGCAACGCCGCAUGCUGGCGCCUCGCCGCCGCCGCUGUGGCCGCGCUGGACGAUUUGGACGCGGCCGCCGGCGCCCGCGAUGGGCGCGCUGCGCGGCGGGCCGCUGGCGCGCAGGAGAAUGGGAGCGAACUCCAUCUUCUUUACUGCGCCGAAUACGAAGGAGAACUUCGCCGCUCCUGUCACGCCGAUGGUGGAGGCGGCGUGUGUGGAGGGCUGCGGCUCGUCGUCAAAUGCGACGGUGUACGCGAUUCCGGGUCUUGCGACGGUGCGGCACAACAACGCGGACGUGAAGGUGACAGUGGCGCGCGAGAAGUUUCCCGCGCGGCUGCGUUUUGUGUGCGUACCGAAAGUGGACCCGCUGGUGCAUCUGAGCGCGACUGCUGUGAACGCGACGGACUACGAGUUCAUUGCUGGCCCCUCAAAGGUGUUCUACGGCAACACAUUUGUGAACCAGUCGCAGCUGGGGCACGUGUCGCCUGGCGAGGAGUUUGAGGUGUCGCUUGGCACGGAUGAGACGGUGAAGGUGAGCCGGACGCUUGUGCGGCGUGCGGAGUCGGAGAAGACGUCCGUGUUCUCGAGCACAAAGUCGCAGCUGAGGUACCACUACGCGUACACAGUUGAGUGCUUCGCGCUGCCGAGCGAUGCACCGGUGACGGUUGUGGUGAAAGACAACUACCCCGUCUCAGACGACGCGGAUGUCGAUGUGGUGCUCGAGCAGCCGACGGCCACAGCGGCUGGUGAAAACCUGUGCUCUGUUAAGGGGGAGAAAGUGACCGUGGAUGAGGACACGCACGAGGUGGCGUGGACCUUCUCGAUGGCUAAGCAUGAGAAGAAGAACUUUGACAUGGUAUUCGUGGCAAGGUACCCAGUGAAGACGCCGGUCUUUGGGCUGCAGUGACGCGGGCGUUCGUGAAACACGCAGAGGAGCCCUACUAUCGAAGAGCCCGUUCCGGGGCAGUGGAUGAGGGUGCGCCUCAGCUCUUCUUCAGCCGCGCUGACGAUGCAAAACCGGGCUUGCCACUUCCGUCUUGCGCGCUGGCUGUUGACGCGGUGCCCCUUCGCUGCGUUUUGCCUAUUCCGAGUCACCUUAUGGAAGCUUUCACGAGUUCCUCCAUGGAGAGAGAUCGCUUCGCUGUUGUAGUAUUGAUUUGCCGGUGUUUCUCUCUCUGCUCUCUGUGUGCGACCAUCAGCGCACACGGCGGCCCCGUCUUGCUUGCCGCGCUCUUACGUACUUCUUGUUUUGCGCCCCGACCCAUCCUCCCCUUUUUUACUCGUCUUUUUCGGUCCGUUUUUUUUUUCUCGCUGCCAUUUUUAUAACCCCGGAUGACAGGGGGGGGGGCGGGGUGAUGCCGCAGCGCGUGGCAUCUCAGGGCCCAGUGCCCCCACUCUGCCUGGGGAGGCCACGCAGCCCCUCCUUCGUCUCUCCCCCUGCCCAAUGCCGAGCCGCCUGUGGUGGUGGCGCGGUGAAGCACCUGCCACGUGGGGAGGUCAGGGCGAUGUACCGCCCCACUGACGCCGGCGGUCGGGCCCUGGAUGGCGCUGCGGCGGAGCGACCUGCGGCAGUGCACAGGCUUGCGCCACGCAUAUGGUAGGCGAAGCGUCAGCGUGGCUCGAGCGUGUAAUCCCACCCCCGGCCCUCGCACUGCGUACGGGGGUGUGGGGAGCCACCCACCCACCCCUGAGGAGAGAAUGCACCCGGUGGCGCCCGGCAUAGUGGGGGAGCGGCUGUGAGGCGACCUGCGGGGCGCGGGUGGGUGUGCGGUGCUCGAGGCAGGGGGGUGGUGCUCCGACGGCUGAGCCGGGCGCAUUGCUGCACUGGCGUGUCUCUCGCUCUGCAUCGCACGACGCGGAUGGGGGCCUGUGGCAGGGCCUGGGGGGGGGGGGUUAUCGAGAGGCGCUCAGUGAAAUGCACUGUGGCAGUGAAUGGACAGACGCGACUCGAACAGAACCCUUUUCUAUUUGCAUGCCCUUGCCUCUUGCCCAGGCACGGCAAGCGCAACACAGUGUACACUAGAGAGGAGCGCAUACACGACGGAGAGGUGGAGACGCGUUUUUUUUUCUUCUCACCGGCGAUGUGUUGUUUUUCUUUUUGCUUGGGGUAGCGGAUCGUGCUGGUGGUUGCGUGAGUGUUGCUCACCUUAUGCUCUUCUCGCACUUGAGGAUUGUGUGUGUGUGUAGUGCGAUGUGUUUGUGUGUGCGUACCGCAGGUCCCCACAUUUCUCCGCCUUUAGUCGCUAUGCUGCUUGUAACUGUCGCCGUUAGCGUGCCCUGUUUCGACACCUUCUCUCGUCCUUCGCCGUGGCACCGAAGAAGGGGCGUAGAGGCAAGGGGAGGGGAAGAGCGGGGCGGGCGUGCGACC